rnacentral:misc_RNA from 1 species
GAUGAAGAACGCAGCGAAAUGCGAUAAGUAGUGUGAAUUGCAGAAUUCCGUGAAUCAUCGAAUCUUUGAACGCACAUUGCGCCUUCUGGUAUUCCGGAAGGCAUGCCUGUUCGAGAGUCAUUAACAACCGUUUCGAUCCCUUUCUUUCCGAAAUUACAAAGAGGAAAAGGGUUUGGUUAUGGUGGAGGAGGGAAAGGGAGCGUUUAGCCUGUAAAAAAAGAGGCUGUGUUCCGCCUCCCCCCCAAAAUUGUACAGGCGGUCGUGUGCGCCCACGCAUCGAGGUGUUGUAAAAGCUGCCACGGCACUUUUCACCUGUGCAGUGCGAGAUUGGCCAGCCGGUUUAAAAACCCCUCCAAACAAUCAAAGGUUGACCUCGGAUCAGGUAGGGAUACCCGCUGAACUUAAGCAUAUCAAUAAGCGGAGGA